GAUGAACGCUGGCGGCGUGCCUAAUACAUGCAAGUCGAGCGAACGGACGAGAAGCUUGCUUCUCUGAUGUUAGCGGCGGACGGGUGAGUAACACGUGGAUAACCUACCUAUAAGACUGGGAUAACUUCGGGAAACCGGAGCUAAUACCGGAUAAUAUUUUGAACCGCAUGGUUCAAAAGUGAAAGACGGUCUUGCUGUCACUUAUAGAUGGAUCCGCGCUGCAUUAGCUAGUUGGUAAGGUAACGGCUUACCAAGGCAACGAUGCAUAGCCGACCUGAGAGGGUGAUCGGCCACACUGGAACUGAGACCCGGUCCAGGCUCCUGAGGGAGGCAGCAGUAGGGAAUCUUCCGCAAUGGGCGAAAGCCUGACGGAGCAACGCCGCGUGAGUGAUGAAGGUCUUCGGAUCGUAAAACUCUGUUAUUAGGGAAGAACAUAUGUGUAAGUAACUGUGCACAUCUUGACGGUACCUAAUCAGAAAGCCACGGCUAACUACGUG
rnacentral:rRNA from 1 species